GAGAUGCCACGGAUUGCAUUUUAUGUGGGGGACCAUGGGAGUCACAAGACCAUGUGUUCUUUAAAUGCAAAUUCUCUAAGGACUUGUGGAAUUAUAUAUUAUCUGCGAAACCCCGUUUGAUUACAUGUGCAGGUCUAUCUUUAAAACAGGUUAUGGAUGAAGCACAAGCAAGAACAAAAAACUCAAUAUGCUGGGGAAUGACUUGGGCUUACAUUGCUGCAGUGGUGUGGGGGAUAUGGACAGAAAGGAACAGGAGGGUUCAUGAGGAUAGACGGACCAGGCCACAAGAGAUUGGGAGAAGACUAGUGGAAGAUAUCACCUCAACAUUCAUGCCGAGCAGGUACAAGGCAAUAGGGACAACUCAGGAACAAAGGAUGGCACAAGGCUGGAAUUGCGGGGGGGGAAAUGCCCCAAGUUAAUUGCUGUUUUAUUUUUGGUGUAUUUAAUUAAACUGCUUGUUGCAACUUAAAUUUGGUAGGAACAAAUAACAUGUAAUUGGUAGGCUAGCGAUAGGGGAGGGUUCAAUUAAAAAUAGAACCCAAACCUAUCAAUGGCAAAGGUCUAGCAUGUAUGGUACAUGGACUGAUCUAAAAAUCAUGUCCAUUAGGAACCCCUGGCCCAAUAGGGACAAGGAUCUUCCUAAGUCAUAGUAGAAACGAUAUGUGGAAUCACUUACAAAUUAGUGGACCGAAAGGUGAUGGCAGAGUUUUCCCUUGGAAAAGGAAAAGAGGCCAUGGGCACACCAGGGUUUUUACACUCCCCAUUGUCCAAGGCCCACUAUGUGAGAACGAUGAGGCAUAGAUCGUUAUAGGAACCAUUGAGUCAGUCCCCAAAGGCUUGGAAGAUUAGGCGAUCGUAAGAUCAAAUAAUUGGAUAAGCGCGGAGGGCGUGAGGUGGACCGUCUGUGGUCGCACUUCUUUUUUGUUAAGAUCUUUUAUAUUAUCAGUGAUUUUAACUCAAAAAAAAUUGGCUGCCACAAUUCGCCACAAGCCCAUGAACGCUUGGCUGCCACAAGCCCAUGUGAGAGUGAGAUAGAGGCGAUUGGGAGGGCGAUUAAAGGGCGAUCGUGUGUUCUUGGUUUCUUGCAGGUCUAGGAGUACGGCAGCACGGAGGGAGAGAGAAGAUUCCAGAGAAAUUUCAAAAUCAGGAUAUUUUACUAUUAAAUAUAUACUAUUUUCUAUUGUUUUUUAAAUUUUUAGGAUUAAACAUCACUGUUCAUUGUCCUCUUUCGCUGCAGGACACUCGUACUUCUUCUCCAUGGAGAACAUCUCCAUGGAGGUCGAUAAAGGCGGAGUUUGGACGGAGGUUAAUAGAAGGAACAAGGGAAGGUCUGGAGGGGAUUUUAAUCCGGUAGUUGGGACGCCGGCCAGAGGAGGAAGAGGUGGUCGCAGUCGCAGGGGCGGGAGGAGCUCUGUGCUGAAAACGCGAGGACGACGACAAGUUACGAACCCAUUCGAGGCUCUGACGCCGGAGGAGAAGGAGCGGGAAAUCAAUAGGCACAAGUGGGCGAGGCUCGCGGGGGACGGCUUCCUGCCGAAGGCUACGACGGAGGACGACGCUUGCAGGAGGGAACGGAUUCGGACAGGGAUGGGUUCACCGGAAGACGUAACUCUGCUGGAACUACAGCGCCGUGUACAUGCGGAGGUAAGACGCAACUCAAUGCUUGCAGGCGAUGGAACACUGUCGGGAACGAAAGACCAGUCGGAGAUUGAGAGAAGAGCAAGGGCGAGAGCCGGGAAAGCCACUGCCGAAGACAUCGCGGAGUUGGAAAAACAGAGGAUCGCAAGACGACAAUACGUGCAGAGGGCAAGGCUGGUUGACGAUGGAUGCCUUGGCCCUACUGGAGACAAUAUCGAAUUGCGGAGGCGAGCCAGAGUCAGGGAAGGCACCGCGAUACCAGAAGAUAUGACGGCCAUUGAGAACCAGCGUCGGGCAGCGAUGAUACAGAGGAUCGCGAACUUUAAGAACCCAUCGGUGCACAAAUCUUUCGCAUCUGUGUUGAAGCAGGCACCGGUGCUUCCAGAAGGAGUUACAACUGGACUGACCUACACGAAGCCUGCAGAACGAAAUGGGAGGACGGGGGCAUUACUGGGAGGGGAAUUAAUUAAGAAAUUGGAGAAGACGAGGUUCGCCGGAACGCUGCUGGUCCGGCGACUGGUUGACGAGAAGAUAUACCCACGCUUCGCGAGAAAUUUCAUCAAACAGGUAUGGGGAAUUAGUGGGGACCAAUUCGAGGUGCAGGUGAGGCAGUCCGGAGUGCUACUAAUCCAAUUCAGGCGGGGGGGAGACUACACGACAGUGAAGGACGCCGGCGACACUUGGAUGGAUGGGGUGUAUACGAUAGUGAGGAAAUGGACUGAAGGGAAGGCUAUGGAAAACGCGAAGGUCAAAACAUUGCCGAUUUGGGUAGGGUUACCGGAAUUCCCUGCGCAUAUGUGGUGCCAAGAGGUCUUCUCCACAAUCGGAAGUGUGUUGGGUUCGCCGGUAAAAACAGACGCACAUACGGCUAAAGGUUCAAACCCCAAUGGUGCAAAGUUACUGGUAAUUAUGGAGGCAACAGGGAGCUUCCCAACGGAAGUCCCAAUUUACAUUCAAGGGGACGGUGGGGUGGAGUCGGAGGAAACUUGCAGAGUCAACUAUCUGAAAAUGCCGCCGAUCUGCAAAAAGUGCAAUUCCUUCGUCCAUCAGGCGGAGCGUUGCAGAUUCGAGGAAGAGGCACCGGACGAAGUAGUCGGUGACCAGGAAGGGGCAAGGAGCAAAAAUCCGACGAUUGACGGAGAGAACAGCGAGAAAUCGAACGACGCAAACCGCUCUGAAACUCCCGCGAAGAACGACUCGGCUGGAGAAGACAGUCGACGUGGAGACGACGUGGCACAAAAACCCAAUCGGGAGGAGACAACUAAUGCUGAUGUGGCGAUGGGAACAAAUAGAAGAAGGCCAAAUCUUGAUGACGUGGACACAAGGGUCCUCAUAAAGGAGCUACAGAACCGGAUAUUAACAGAGCUGAUCGAAUCCGGGCAGGCGGAUAAGCAAGCGGGCGGGGAAGAUCCAUAUAGCGAGAUUGGGGAAGAAAAUGGAAGUAUAUACCAAUCAAUAUGUGGAAAAGUCAACAUGGGCAUAACCGGACCCGGGUCGGGCGGGCAAAUCGAACUAAAGGAAACCCAAUUAGAGAACGAUGGAGAAGAAACAGAGGAUUUAAGAAACAGGGCACUUCAGAGCAAGAAGGGGAAGGAGGAAGAUGAUGUUCCAGGGGAAGACCGUACAAUGAAUUGCCAGCGGAGGAGGAAGAAAAAGUUUCACGCUAGCAAGGACAAGCUGCAGAGAGAAGAUUCUCCACACUGUACGAUGGUGCAAACGCUAGCGGAAAGGAGGAGCGGGAUAGAAAACCAGGGUGGAACCCAACGUGAAACAGUGCAAGUCACCUCUGGGAAAAAGAGAACACGCGGUACGGAGGAUAUGGGAAGAGAGGACGUCGACGAUAAUGCAGAAUUCGUAGAGAUGGACAGUACAUCGACGGAUUUGAUCGUUAUACCAGUCGACGGUGACCUGGCAAAAUACGGAAGGAAGAAGAACGGUGAGGAAGACGAGUGCAGUGGAGUCAAUUAUUUAUUAAGGGGGGGGGGCUCUUAAAUAAAUUUCACAUGCCAGGCCUGAUCAGUCUGAACCAAUUCGGCAAAUCGAAAAUUCCAGGUCAGGUGCGUCUAAAUAAACACAUUUAUGGUCUGGACCAAUUGAGAUCAAUUAAGCUCUGGGGUGAGAAAAUAAGGUUCAGCCAAGAUCAAGUAACUACUGCAAGUGAAAUGCCAAGACUAACCCCGAGUCAACGAGUGGACCAAGGGGCAGAACAGACAAAAUUAGUUGGAAAGGAGGACCCGAUAACGUUUAAAGCGCAACCCAAAUCCAAAGAGGGGAAACUCAGAAAGGGGGAAGGAUUGAAAUCGAAAAGGGGAAGCGGUAGGAACCCGACCCGACCGGAGACCCGAAUAGCUGAACUUAAAAUUAAAAAGAAAACAGAGAUAUUGCCGGCAAGCGGAGGAAGGUACAGCACAGACUUAAGGAACCAGUCGCCGAUGACCACCAGGGCGGCGGCCAGCAACAAGAAAGUAGUGCAAACCGAGGACGCGUUGUCAAUGAUCCAAGACGCAUUGGAAUUGUCCACGCCGGUAACCAAUUUGGUGAAGAGAAAUAGAUCGCCAAGAAUCCCCAGUGGUGGGUUGCGGAAGAAACACAGGGAGAGCGACGAAACAGAGGAAAUAAUGGCGGAGGAUGAGCACGAGGGAGAACAACACCAGAUUGAGAAGCUCGGGGAAGUGAUCUCGCUACAGCAGAAUGGUGAAUUAACACCCAAUCGGGAAAACAGUCAAUUAAGCAAGGAUACAGAGCAACGGCAGGAUCGAUCUGGGAAAGCUCCAGGAACCCAUACGUCGACUUCGAGAGGUAAAAAAUUAUCUAAAAAUAAAUCCAAACAGAAAGCAAGGAGAGAAGUGGAGCUAGAAGCUGGGGCAUCUGCGGAGAAGGAGAUAUCGAUGAAGACCAGAGAAGACUAUCUGCUCAAUCCUGAACGACUCACGAACUGCAUAUCGGACAGACUGUCGGGAGCUCUAGAUUUUGCGGAGGAAGUCGGGAAUGAUGACGUCUCUGAUGGGGAAUAUGAGAUAGGCAGAAUUGUAUGGGACAAGCUGCCGGGAGAUGCGAUUACGAGAGAGGAGCAAAUUCAGGGUGAUAGUGGCCAGCUGGAGGAGUUCCGGCGAGAUCCAACCACCGUCUAAAAGCUCUGUUCCGACUUAACCACCAGGGGUGGGGUGAGUGGGGGAGGUGAGAUAAAUUAAAUAAAUUUAAUUAAGCUGAAAUUAGGAGAGAGUGAUUAGUCAAAUUAAAGUUAAUUAAUAAUCUGCUGAUUAGGUAAGCAAAUAGAGGUUAGUAAAAAUAAUUUAACCAAUGACUUACGAAAUGGGGGGAAAAUAUGGGAAAAUUGCAUGCUAUGAUUGGGGGGGGUAUGAGAGAGAUGCUUGUGGAUAAGAAUGAUAAAAUAAAAACAAAAAUAAAAAGGCUAAAUACAAUUAAAAAAGUCUGCACAUGGGCCAAAAUGAGGGGGGAGAAAAGGUAUGCACGUGGGCAAAAACCAAUUGGGUAAAAAAACAAUAAUAAGAAUAAAAACUGCAAUUAAAAAUCCUUGCACGUGGGUUUUAGUAAUGGUAUACAAGCACGUGGGUAGGGAGGGGCAACCAAAGAAAAAUGCUAGAAACUGGCCCAAUUGCACCAAAUGGGCAAUGGUCCACAAAAUUAAAAAUUCACUAUACAUGAACGUGGGGGUGGAAACCAUAAACGAAGAAUUGAAUAAAAAACAUUUGAUAUUCCUAGAUAAGCAAGUGGGGUGCAUAGAGAAAUCCAUUAUAGUGUGAAUGGGUCUAACCAACUCUUCAGAGUUGGGCAAGACCAAACCCCACACAAAAAUGGAGAUGGGCCUAAUCCAAGGGGGGAUGGAAAUGCAAGGGGGCAAAGGCAAAAACUUAGGAGACCUAACCAAAUUAGCAGAACUCAGAAUUUGGCCAAAAGUCAAAAUUGGCCGAAUUUGACUAGAAGUCAAACGAAUUUGACCAAUAAUCAAACAACAAUUUUGCCUAAGAGUCAGCGAUAUUGGAGAUGGGGUUUGUGCACUAUGGCUCCCGACAGUCAAAAUGGACAAUCCCUUACCACCCAAAUUCCCCAGAGUUUGAUCAAAAGUCAAAAUCAACCAAUUUUGGCCAAUAGUCAAAAUCAACUGAUUUUGACCAAUAGUCAAAAUUGGAGCUUGGGCAAGAGGCAAACCCGGGAUGAUACUACCCACCCGGUAGUGACCCGACAACGACCCAAUAGUGACCCGACUGGGACCCGUUAGCCAACCAGAACAAAAAAAAUGGUCAUCGAUACCACACCAAACCCUAGGCACACUAACAGACCCGACACAGACCCGAUAAACAAAAAGGCACCAAAAAUAAAAUAAAUAAAAUAAAAUAAAAACAAUAAAUGUCGUUUGGGAGCUGGAAUGUGUAUGGGCUGAAUAGUGACCUAAGGAAGAAUGCGGUAAAGAAGUUUGUGAAAAAACACAAGUUGGACCUCUUUGGACUUUAUGAAACUAAAAUCAUGAAGAAGAACUUCCAACAUAUCAGUAAGAUAUUUGGACAGAAAUUUUCGGUAAUAUCAAACAGAGAACAAUCUGACCCUAGGGCAGACUCUAUCUGGAUGGUAUGGGACACUGGUCUUUGGGACAUAGAAGAUCCAAUUCUACACGACCACUACAUACAUUGUUUUGCAAAAAACAAAGGGGGGUUCAAUAUAAACAUAACCAUGGUGUAUGCAUCGUCAGAUUACCAGGUGAGGGAGGAAACAUGGAGGGACCUAAAAACACUAAGUAGAGCCAUUAGGGGCCCAUGGAUUGUCCUUGGCGAUUUUAAUGAGGUUAGGAAUAGGGAAGAUAGGAUUGGAAAGCAUGCGGUUGUAAAAAUGCCCCACAUAAGACAAUUUAAUAAAGACCUAAAUGAAGCAUGCUUAAAAGAAAUUAUUAUAAAUGGCAACCCAACAACCUGGCAUAAUAAAAGACAUGGAGAACAUAGGGUCUGCAGUAGAAUAGACAAGGGCUUUGGAAAUACUGAACUGUUUGAUCUAUGGCCGGACAUCAGACUGGAUAGCCACUCAGGUGGAUCAUCCGAUCACCGUAGUCUAACCAUGGACCUUAGGACGGUGCAGGAGAAGAAGAAGCCCUUUAGAUUCACCAACUUAUGGUUAAGGAAGGAAGAACUGAAGGGGAUAGUACAAGAGGCAUGGCAGAUAGAUGUCUGGGGCACGCCGAUGUACAUUUUCACAAAGAAACUCAACAACGUCAAGAGGGUCCUGAAGAAAUGGAAGACAUCAGAGGACCAACAAAGGAAGAUGAUGGCUCAACUAGAGGAGGAGGUCAACAAGGAUGAAAGCUUGCUUCAACAAACACCGUUUGAUGAAGCAAUCCAUGAUAGGGUAGAAGCCACCAAUAGGAAGAUAGACGCCCUAACUAAAACACAAGAGGAAAACGCUAGACAAAGGAGUAGAGCCUACUGGUUGCAUCUAGGGGAUAAGAAUACUAAGUUCUUUGCAGCCAUGACCAAACAGAGAAAAGUACUAAACUCUCUAUAUAGGAUGUUAGGGCCAAAUGGGAGGGUAAUGGUGUCUAGGAGUGAAAUGGAGGAGAAGACCCUAGCACACUUUAAGAACCUGUUUGCUGAAGGGGAGGAGAGCAUCUCUAGGGAAACUAGGAACUUUACUAAAAGAGUAACACCACAACAGAACCUAGACCUAGAGCAAACCCCUACCUAUGAAGAGGUAAAAAAGGUUGUAAUGAGCUUAAAUCCAGACAAGAGCCCUGGCCCAGAUGGGUUUAAUGGAGCCUUCUUUAGGGCCUUUUGGACCAUAAUGGACAAGGAUCUUGUCAAAGCAAUACAAUCAAUUUUCGUAGGGGACCCACUCCUAAGGCAAGUCAACUCUACCUUUGUGACCUUAAUACCAAAAAUUAAAAACCCGACUAGAUUGGAUCAAUUCAUACCAAUAUCAUGUAUCAAUACAACAUAUAAGAUCCUAUCUAAGGUCAUCACAAAUAGGGUGGUUCCAGUGGUAGACACCAUAAUAGACAACAACCAAACAGCCUUCCUCCCAGGAAGGCUGAUUGGGGACAACUACCUACUAGCAACAGAGAUGGUGGCAGGUUUUGGGAGGGGAAAUGGAGGGGCCAAUGCUGCUAUAAAGGUUGACCUAGCAAAGGCCUUUUACACAGUGAGUUGGGAGGCAAUAGAGGGUACAAUGGUAGAUCUAGGAUUCAGCCAGAAGAUUGUGAGGAUAAUAAUUGAUGAAGCACGGAAUCUGCUACCAGUAGGCUCGCGGGGUUGCGAGGAGGGCCGGAGGCUUUGGAGUCCACGACGCGCGCUCUACGUCAAUGUACCUGCAGAAGAGGAGGGGAAUCGGCGACUCACGUGGGAGUAGGCGAUUCGGGCUCCUUAGUUUGCUCUGGUUGGAGUGUGUGUUGUCAAGAUGAGUUGAGGGUAGAGGUCCACCAAGGACCCCUUUUAUAGGGUCCUGGGGGACGUUUUCCCCAUUCAUUAGCGUGGGGCCCACCCCAUUAAGGUAUCCUAUUAAGGAAUGCCUUAAUGGCGAGGGUCCGCUCAAGUAACGGCUGGGAGUCGGCGAUUCAGGUGUGGGAAUCGCCGAUCCAGAGGUUCAAUCGCCGACUCCCCAUGAGCCUAGUGGCAGCCUACCAGAACUGUCCACAAGGCCUAGAGUUAGCGAUUCACCCCUGGAGUCGGCGACUUGGUAGUCCCAAUCGGCGACUCCCAAGUGUUAACUUGGGCUCUUGACGUAGACACGUGCUCCGCACCGUGGAAGCCUUUCCGGGGGUCCGGCAUAUAGCGACGGAACCCUAUUCCUUGUUUGAAGGGCGUUGCUGGGAGUGACUGACGUAAUCAGGCAUGUCUCACCAAUAAUGAUGUGCAUCACCACAUCAUCUCUGUCCUUCCUUGUAAAUGGCUCACCCACACCACAAAUCCAACCCAAGAGGGGAAUCAGACAAGGUGAUCCCCUCUCACCUUACAUAUUUGCUCUAAUAAUGCAGAAUCUAACCAUCCUAAUCAAUGAGCGGGUAGCUAAGAAGCAAAUUAGUACCUUUAAGAAACAUAAUGUGAUGGGUAUAUCACACCUCAUAUAUGCAGACGACCUCCUAAUCUUUUGCAAAGCUAGGGAGGAGUCAUUCAAGUCGGUGAAUGAAGUAUUCAGAGUGUUUGAGGAAAGAACAGGGCUGAAGGUGAGUGAGCCAAAGAGUGAAGUCUUCUUCUCGAACUCCACCAGAGAAAGGAAACUCUACUAACUCACCUAAAAUUCAAGGAGGGAGAGUUCCCCACAACCUACCUAGGGUUACCUCUGUCUCCUAGAAUACUUUACCAGAAAGAUUGUGCACCGCUGAUAGAAAGGGUGAAUGGGAUGGUAGAGGGAUGGAAAACAAGACUACUAUCCCAUGCGGGCAGAGUUCAAUUAUACCAUUGGGGGAUAAUGAGAAUUUUUAAUUUUUGGAACAUGUCUAGCAGGCUCCCGGUGGAAACACUAAAGGAGCUACAAUCCAUAACAUAUAGAUACAUAUGGAAUGGAAAACAGAAUAUGUCUUGGGCACAAAUGGUGCUACCCAAGAAGGAGGGUGGGCUAGGACUAAGGAGCUACCAUGAGUCGGCUGAGGCAGCCAGACUAACAAGAUUAGGAAGGAUAUGGUCAUCCCAAGACUCCAUAUGGGCAUCAUGGAUGAGGGGUAGAUAUGUAGGUGGGAGGGGACUACUGAGCAUUGGUAAGCACCCUAGUUUAGAUUCAGCCUUAUGGGCUGAGAUAAUGGACUAUAAAAACGAAAUAGUGAAAACCCUAAAAUGUGAUCCCAACUACGAGUGUACUUGGGAGGGCAAAGGGACUUCGCUAACCUAUAAAAAUGCUUGGGACUCCGUAAGGGAAACAGAGGAGGUAGACAAUUAUUGGGAGGGAAUUUGGACAACUAGUGUGAGAAAAUUCAGUAUGACACUUUGGAGAGCUAGAUGGUCCAAAAUAUCUAUGAGGGCAGAUUGGGCGGGUAGAAUGGGAGGAGAUGCCACGGAUUGCAUUUUAUGUGGGGGACCAUGGGAGUCACAAGACCAUGUGUUCUUUAAAUGCAGAUUCUCUAAGAACUUGUGGAAUUAUAUAUCUGCAAAACCCCGUUUGAUUACAUGUGCAGGUCUAUUUUUAAAACAGGUCAUGGAUGAAGCACAAGCAAGAACAAAGAACUCAAUAUGUUGGGGAAUGACUUGGGCUUACAUUGCUGCAGUGGUGUGUGGAAUAUGGACAGAAAGGAACAGGAGGGUUCAUGAGGAUAGACGGACCAGGCCACAAGAGAUUGGGAGAAGACUAGUGGAAGAUAUCACCUCAACAUUCAUGCCGAGCAGGUACAAGGCAAUAGGGACACCUCAGGAACAAAGGAUGGCACAAGGCUGGAAUGGCGGGGGGGGAAAUGCCCCAAGUUAAUUGCUAUUUUACUUCUGUUGUAUUUAAUUAAACUGCUUGUUGCAACUUAAAUUUGGUAGGAACAAUAAUAACAUGUAAUUGGUAGGCUAGCGAUAGGGGGGGUUCAAUUAAAAAUAGAACCCAAACCUAUCAACGGCAAAGGUCUAGCAUGUAUGGUAAAUGGACUGAUCUAAAAUCAUGUCCAAUAGGAACCCCUGCCCCAAUAGGGACAAGGACCUUCCUAAGUCUUAGUAGAAGCGAUAUGUGGAAUCACUUACAAAUUAGUGGACCGAAAGGUGAUGGCAGAGUUUUCCCUUGGAAAAGGAAAAGAGGCCAUGGGCACACCAGGGUUUUUACACUCCCCAUUGUCCAAGGCCCACUAUGUGAGAACGAGGAGGCAUAGAUCGUUCUAGGAAUCAUUGAGUCAGUCCCCAAAGGCUUGGAAGAUUAGGCGAUCGUAAGAUCAAAUAAUUGGAUAAGCGCGGAGGGCGUGAGGUGGACCGCUUGUGGUCGCACCUCUUUUUGUUAAGAUCUUUUAUAUUAUCAGUGAUUUUAACUCAAAAAAAUUGGCUGCCACAAUUCACAAGCCCAUUCCCAACUUUUCCAUCCAAGAGAGAGUGAGAGAGGGCGAUCUUGAGGGCGAUUUUUAG
rnacentral:lncRNA from 1 species